rnacentral:rRNA from 1 species
GACGAACGCUGGCGGCGUGCUUAACACAUGCAAGUCGAACGGAAAGGCCCUGCUUUUGUGGGGUGCUCGAGUGGCGAACGGGUGAGUAACACGUGAGUAACCUGCCCUUGACUUUGGGAUAACUUCAGGAAACUGGGGCUAAUACCGGAUAGGAGCUCCUGCUGCAUGGUGGGGGUUGGAAAGUUUCGGCGGUUGGGGAUGGACUCGCGGCUUAUCAGCUUGUUGGUGGGGUAGUGGCUUACCAAGGCUUUGACGGGUAGCCGGCCUGAGAGGGUGACCAGCCACAUUGGGACUGAGAUACGGCCCAGACUCCUACGGGAGGCAGCAGUGGGGAAUAUUGCACAAUGGGCGGAAGCCUGAUGCAGCAACGCCGCGUGCGGGAUGACGGCCUUCGGGUUGUAAACCGCUUUCGCCUGUGACGAAGCGUUAGUGACGGUAAUGGGUAAAGAAGCACCGGCUAACUACGUG